rnacentral:rRNA from 1 species
AAUUCGAUUGAGUUUGAUCAUGGCUCAGAAUCAACGCUGGCGGCGUGCCUCAGACAUGCAAGUCGAACGCGAAAGUCCCCUUCGGGGGACAAGUAGAGUGGCGCACGGGUGAGUAACACGUAGGUAAUCUACCUUCGGAUGGGGAAUAACAAUCGGAAACGAUUGCUAAUACCGCAUAAUGCAGCGGCACCUAAUGGUGACAGUUGUUAAAGCGGGGGAUCGAAAGACCUCGCGUCUGAAGAGGAGCCUGCGGCGGAUUAGCUAGUUGGUAAGGUAAUGGCUUACCAAGGCAACGAUCCGUAACCGGCCUGAGAGGGCGGUCGGUCACACUGACACUGACAUACGGGUCAGACUCCUACGGGAGGCAGCAGUCGGGAAUUUUGGGCAAUGGGCGAAAGCCUGACCCAGCAACGCCGCGUGAAGGAUGAAAUCCCUCGGGAUGUAAACUUCGCAAGAACGGGAAGAAUAAGUAGGGGACAAUACCCCCUAUGAUGACGGUACCGUUUGUAAGCUCCGGCUAACUCCGUGCCAGCAGCCGCGGUAAUACGGGGGGAGCAAGCGUUGUUCGGAUUUACUGGGCGUAAAGGGCGCGUAGGCGGCCAGCACAAGUCAGUUGUGAAAUCUCCGAGCUUAACUCGGAAAGGUCAACUGAUACUGUGCGGCUAGAGUGCGGAAGGGGCAACUGGAAUUCUUGGUGUA